AAUAUUAUUUUUAUUUUUUAUUUGCCCGUCGUUAAUCUGUCGACAAUUAUUAAAUUUAAUUAAAAAUUUAAGGGCCCGUCGAGAAUCCGUCGACAUAUAUAAAUAAAAAUAAUUAUUUUUAUUAUUUCGGAGGGCCGUCGAGAAUCCGUCGAGAAAUUAAGUUUUCUGAUAUUAGAUCCUCUUCCCCAAAAUCAGUUGCUGUAAAUAUCACUUCCCUACCCCCGCGCUAGCUGCUCCGCCCCCUGCCCCGUCUGCUGCCUCUCCUCGCCGCCGCGCCGCCGGAGUCGCUCUACACGAGCAGGUUCUCCGCUGCUCCGUUUCGUUUCUCUGAAUCAGUUGCCCCGUUCCGUUUCUAUGAAUCAGUUGCCCUAAAUCAGUUCUCUGAUUAUUUUAAUUGACGUCGGCCCCUGCUCCGUUCGCCGCGCCGUCAGCCGGAGCCCCCUGCUGCUGUCUGCCGCCGCUUCUCUCCCCUGCCGGAUCUCCUCUCUCUCUCUCUCUCUCUCUCAAAUUUGAAAGGUGCAUUCAAAGUUAAUUUGCUGAUUUUGUUGAAUUCUCUGCUAAAUUGGAUUUUGAUGCUUUAUGUCCUUUUUCCUCAAAGUUUAUGCCAAAUUC
rnacentral:lncRNA from 1 species